GACGAACGCUGGCGGCGUGCUUAACACAUGCAAGUCGAGCGGAGCGGCGAACGGGUGAGUAACGCGUGAGUAACUGCCCCCCUCUCUGGGAUAACAGUUGGAAACGGCUGCUAUUACCGGCUAGUGGGGGAUGAUUCGCGUCCUAUCAGCUUGUUGGUGGGGUAUUGGCCUACCAAGGCGUCGUCUGUUAGCCGGCCUGGGAGGGCGACCGGCCAAAUUGGGCUGAGAUACGGCCCAAACUCCUACGGGAGGCAGCAGUGGGGAAUAUUGCACAAUGGGGGAAACCCUGAUGCAGCAACGCGCGUGCGGGAUGACGGCCUUCGGGUUGUAAACCGCUUUCAGCCAUGACGCGGUAGUGGCAGAAGAAGCACCGGCUAACUACGUGCCAGCAGCCGCGGUAAUUC
rnacentral:rRNA from 1 species